UCUACGGGUGGCAGCAGUGGGGAAUAUUGCACAAUGGGGGAAACCCUGAUGCAGCGACGCCGCGUGAGUGAAGAAGUAUUUCGGUAUGUAAAGCUCUAUCAGCAGGGAAGAAAAUGACGGUACCUGAUUAAGAAGCCCCGGCUAACUACGUGCCAGCAGCCGCGGUAAUACGUAGGGGGCAAGCGUUAUCCGGAUUUACUGGGUGUAAAGGGAGCGUAGACGGUGAUGCAAGUCAGAAGUGAAAGCCCGGGGCUCAACUCCGGGACUGCUUUUGAAACUGUGUGACUGGAGUGCAGGAGAGGUAAGCGGAAUUCCUGGUGUAGCGGUGAAAUGCGUAGAUAUCAGGAGGAACACCAGUGGCGAAGGCAGCAUACCGGCGCUCAACUGACGCUCAUGCACGAAAGUGUGGGUAUCGAACAGGAUUAGAUACCCGGGUAGUC
rnacentral:rRNA from 1 species